GAUGAACGCUAGCGGCAGGCUUAAUACAUGCAAGUCGAGGGCAGCACGGGUAGCAAUACCUGUGGCGACCGGCAAACGGGUGCGGAACACGUACGCAACCUUCCCAAAACUGGUGAAUAGCCCUCCGAAAGGAGGAUUAAUACACCGUACCAUCCCGACACGGCAUCGUGACGGGAUUAUAGGCUUCGGUCGGUUUUGGAUGGGCGUGCGCCUGAUUAGGUAGUUGGCGGGGU
rnacentral:rRNA from 1 species